rnacentral:rRNA from 1 species
GUCCUCUUGAUUUUUUUGGAGGUCUGACCUGCCCGGUGAUAUUUUAACGGCCGCGGUAAACUGACCGUGCAAAGGUAGCAUAAUCAUUAGUCUUUUAAUAGGAGGCUGGAAUGAAAGGUUUUACGAAAAAUUAGCUGUCUUAUUUUUACAUUAGAAUUUAACUUUUGAGUUAAAAGGCUCAAAUUUUGUUGGAGGAAGAGAAGACCCUAUAGAGCUUUACAUUCUUUCUUUUUAAUUUUUUUAGUUUUAUAAUUAAUAUUAAUUAGCUAGAUUGUUUUGUUGGGGUGACAAAAUAUAUAUAUAUAACUUUUGCUAUUUAUUUUACAUUAAUUUAUGAUUUUUGGAUCCAUUAUUAUUGAUCAAUAGAUUAAGUUACCUUAGGGAUAACAGCGUAAUCUUCUUUCAGAGUUCAAAUUUACAAGAAGGCUUGCGACCUCGAUGUUGGAUUAAGAUUAUAAUUAGGUGUAGUAGCUUAUUAUAUAGGUCUGUUCGACCUUUAAAUUCUU